rnacentral:lncRNA from 1 species
GUGGUCCUCAACCCGGAGUCGCUCUAGGUGAGAGCCUGACGGCCUCCGCGUGAUGGCCUCCGCCCUCCGCAGCGGGGACCGGAAAAGAAGCCCGGGCUUUUCCACAAAUGUUCUCGUGAAGGCGGAAUCUGGAAAAGGCGGUCGCCCGCCCUACUACCGGGAGGACGGGGAAGAGCGAGCUGAGGGGCGGUUUGGCUGGGAUGCCCAGAGCUCGGCCGCGUUCAUCCCUGCAGGUUUCGGGCCGAGGGUAGUCUGAAGGACCCGAUCUCUUUUCACGUCGUCCUCACCUAACCAAAAAGAAAGGCAGCCUGGAGGAGUGGCUCACACCAGUAACCGUUGGCAUUUGGGAGGCUGUGGCCGGAGGAUUGCUGUGAGUGCAAGGCAGAGUGUUUUAGACAGAGUGAAACAAAACAAACCAAAAAAUGAGGGUAGAUUCCCCAAGUUAAGGAAUAAAUAGGACCUCGAGGAGGUGCAGAGUUCCCAGGGAUAGAGAAAGAUUAGGACGACCUCCCAUCAGGGGAGCAAAACUGGUAACACGCUGCCUUGCACACAUUUGGUGGAGAUUGGGAAGGAAGGAGUGUCGGAGAAGAUGGGAUUUAGUCCAUGGGCACCCGAGCCAGACAGAUUUGCUGCGAAACCAAAACCAAAGCAAAACAAAACGGUCAAGACCUCAAAAUUCGCCUAAUCACAAAUAUCUUUGCCUGAUAAUAACAGCUCUUACACAAUUUUAAUAAUUGCUUUAACCCGAAAUAUGAUCAGGUUAAAUGGACCCAGGUUCGCUAUAAUCAGUAAUAGAAUACAAUAAUCAAUAAAGAAUACAAAUUGACAGCCUGAAUCUAAACCUUUAAAACAACUCCAGGAAAUAUAAUUUUACCUUAUGAAUUAUUAACUACUUUUCUUAUCGCAGUGACAAUAUACCUGUGAAGAAGCAACUUAAUGGAAAGAGAAUUUAUUUGACUCUUAGUUUGGGGUAUAGGCCCUUAGGCCUCCAAGGCCUGGGGAUAGGUGUAGCUCACAGUUUUGACUGUAGAAACUUAUUCAUAUCUGAGAGGAUUAGGAAGGGGGGUUUAAUUUCUUAAUAUUUUAUUUAAUAUACACAGGUUACUAACUUUAGUAUAAUUUUAUUUCUAAAUGUCAAACGUGCCAGUUCCUUGGUGUCUUACGUGUUUUGUGUCUUGUUAAAGAGCUCUUCUCAGGAGUGGUGUGAGACAGGCAGAAGCAUCUAUGACUGGCAAGCUAACUGCCAAAUACUAUUCCCACCACACAUACGAGGAGAGCAAACAGAGAUAUCAAGAAUGGUAAAGCAACGAAGGCUUAACCACAGAGGAGAGCUGAGUGGCUGUCUGCUAAUCACCGGAAAAAAGGCUCACCAGACCAAAAAGAAAAAAGAAAAGGGCCCCUGAAAAGAAGGGAGAAAGGCUAACCAGAGGAAGAAGGGGGAAGAGAAAAACAAGUGCUGGAACAAUCCUGUCAAACCCAGGACACUUCCACAGUUCAGUCCUAGGAAGAGAGCGACAGACACUGCAGAUGCCAAGUAAAAUGGUGUGUGCUGUUAGUGACCCUGCUGUUAAAAUAUAUAUAUGUGUGCGUGUGUAUGUAUGUAUAUGUAUAUAUAUGUAUGUAUAUAUAUGUAUAUAUAUAUUAUUUAUUUUAUGUAUGUACACUGUUGCUAUCUUUAGACACAUCAGAAGAGGCCACUGGGUCCCCCUUACAGACAAUCGUGAGCCAUGUGGUUGCUGGGAAUCGAGCUCAGAUGUCUGGUAGAUCAGUCAGUGCUCUUUACGGCUGAGCCAUGUCUCCAGACCCCUAAAAUAACUGUUUUUUAAAAUCAUUUUUUUCUUAAAUUGUAAAAUUUUAUUUCUUUUUGAAGUUACAUUAUUCAUACAUAAGGACACUUGAUUUGGGAGUGGGGUGGGGGAUCACUGAGUGUAUUUCAGAAGAUGAAUUGAAAUGAUGGAAAUGGGGUCUUUCUGUCUGGAUUUUUUAAUGAUCGCUGGUUCCCAAGAAAGGUUCUCAGAUAUUCAUUCACACUUUAGGAACUUUGGCAGAGAAUCAUUACAGAACAGGAGCAGAACUUCACAGGCAUGACUGCCUCAAGUAACAAUAAUUGGGUUUUCUAUGAAAGCUUCCUGCUUUCCUUGCACCAGUCAUUCUGUGGAGAAUCGUGUCAGUUCAUUUUUUUGUCUGGGUUGCUCUUGAAAAGCUCUUAUAUGGUUUGUGAGACACAUUCACUUCUGUGACUUCCUUUUCACAGCAGCAACAAAACCCAUUGUUGACUUCUACAGUGAAGUUUUGGAGAAAGUUGCUUGGAAACUGUGUUACAAAGUGUUGCCCACUGCCCCCACAUCCUACCGUGAAUAUCUGUAUUGUUGAAGAUGGGGGGAAUAUUUUAUAUUCAGAAUUUAAAGAUAAUCUUUACUGCCCUGUAAGUUUAGAGUUUCGCUUUUCCCACUUACAUUUAGUCUGCCCUGAACUGAGUUUUAUGAAAAGAAGGAGAUAGACAUCAAUUAAAGCUGCUCGCUUUAAGAGUAAAAUAGUCAUAGCACCAUUUACUCGAGUCCAUCUUUCUCCCCAGCCUGUAUUCUGGCUCUUUCCUAGUCUAGGUUCUGUGUGAGUGUGGGGCUCUGUUCCCAUCUUCUUAGUGGUCCAUUUGCCUAACCUUGUGGCACUGUUAUCUAAUGACCUCAGCAAUAGAAAUGGUUGUAACAAUACAAAAACAAGAUGUCUCUGCCUUGUGUCAUAGUGUUAGCCAAUCUCACUACGAGCUUUUUCUUCUUCAUAAAUGUUUUGGCAAUUCCAGUCAUUUGUUCUUCCAUGACAUUUCUAGAAUAAUACAUGUUGAAAUUUUUAUUGGACUUGUAUUGAGUUUAUAGAUUAAUUUGGUAGGUUAUAUAAUUUUUAUAAUGCGGAGUCUUUCAGUCCAUAAACAUGAAGUACUUCUAUAAUUUUUUUCUAUGAAUAUAUUUGAAUAAUAUUUCCAGAGACUUUUUAUUAUUUAACGUUGUUAUACUUGGUGUAUUUAUAGUUACUGUGUCCUAGUGGGUGGGGCUGCUGGUUGCUUCUGUCUUGAAGCAGAAAGGGUGUUUGGAGGUCAUUAAGAGCCAAUGAGGAAGCCCUUGGAGGAUGGGGUGUUCUGAAAGGAGGGAUGUAAUUUACUGGGGUCACAAUAAUUGUCAGCAGAAGAAAAGGUGUGGCUGCCAAGCAUAAAGUGUUUUCCCUUCUCCAGGGCCAAUACCUCAGGACCAGGCAAAAACACUGGAUACUCAGCAGGAUUCACUUCAGACACCCCCUAGUCAAAGUAGAAAUAAAACAGGCUGCUACUUAUGAAUUUACAGACAGGAUGAGUUUCUGAGAUAAUCAAAAUUCUGAACAGACAAAUUUAAAAUUCCCACUUUGGGAAUUUUUUUAAAAGUUUUUAAUUGACACAUUACUGUACAUAUUUGUACAGUACAGGGUAAGAUUUUAAUAUGUGCAUGCAAUGCCUAAUAAUAUGAUUGAUAUUGAUUACUUCAGCUGUCUAUUAUUUAUGUUAACAUUUAAAAUCUUUUCUACUAGCUUCUUUGAAAUAUUCAAUUAAUUGCCAACCAUAGUUAUCUGUGCUAGAACAGUGAAGACACUCCUCCCAGGUCCCGCUUCAGGAAUAUGAUCUUUUUAUAUUCAUACAUGCAAAUAUGGAGUCACACACCGUGGCAAACAGUCCUGUCUAAUGUCUCCAUCCUUCAGAGGCUCUGCUGGUAUGUAAACCCUUUCAAGACUGCCUUGCCUGUCUCUUCACCAUUACCCCCUGGAAUCAAAGUCAGUUCAGUUUUAUGCUGGAAACUACAGUUGUUGAAUUUGCAGAAUAUUGUAACCAUUCAAACUUAAUAGUUUCACAAUGAUAUCUUGCAAGUUUCUUAAUUUAUUCAGAGACAGCAAAAAAGGCUUCUGGAGUUGUGGUGGUACAUACCUUUGAACGCGGGACUCAGGAUGGAAGUGCUUCAUGGUUGUCUCACGGAAAACCAGACUCUGUCUGGUAACCAUGUUAGCUGUCCAUCGUGUUACAUACAAGAGGUCAUGUAAUCUGCAUUCUUAUUUUUCUGUACACAAAAUUGCCAAUAAAAACUUCAUGUAUGGU